rnacentral:rRNA from 1 species
AUUGAACGCUGGCGGCAGGCUUAACACAUGCAAGUCGAACGAUGAUUAUCUAGCUUGCUAGAUAUGAUUAGUGGCGGACGGGUGAGUAACAUUUAGGAAUCUGCCUAGUAGUGGGGGAUAGCUCGGGGAAACUCGAAUUAAUACCGCAUACGACCUACGGGUGAAAGGGGGCGCAAGCUCUUGCUAUUAGAUGAGCCUAAAUCAGAUUAGCUAGCUGGUGGGGUAAAGGCCCACCAAGGCGACGAUCUGUAACUGGUCUGAGAGGAUGAUCAGUCACACCGGAACUGAGACACGGUCCGGACUCCUACGGGAGGCAGCAGUGGGGAAUAUUGGACAAUGGGGGCAACCCUGAUCCAGCCAUGCCGCGUGUGUGAAGAAGGCCUUUUGGUUGUAAAGCACUUUAAGCAGGGAGGAGAGGCUAAUGGUUAAUACCCAUUAGAUUAGACGUUACCCGCAGAAUAAGCACCGGCUAACUCUGUGCCAGCAGCCGCGGUAAUACAGAGGGUGCGAGCGUUAAUCGGAAUUACUGGGCGUAAAGCGAGUGUAGGUGGCUCAUUAAGUCACAUGUGAAAUCCCCGGGCUUAACCUGGGAACUGCAUGUGAUACUGGUGGUGCUAGAAUAUGUGAGAGGGAAGUAGAAUUCCAGGUGUAGCGGUGAAAUGCGUAGAGAUCUGGAGGAAUACCGAUGGCGAAGGCAGCUUCCUGGCAUAAUAUUGACACUGAGAUUCGAAAGCGUGGGUAGCAAACAGGAUUAGAUACCCUGGUAGUCCACGCCGUAAACGAUGUCUACUAGCCGUUGGGGUCCUUGAGACUUUAGUGGCGCAGUUAACGCGAUAAGUAGACCGCCUGGGGAGUACGGCCGCAAGGUUAAAACUCAAAUGAAUUGACGGGGGCCCGCACAAGCGGUGGAGCAUGUGGUUUAAUUCGAUGCAACGCGAAGAACCUUACCUGGUCUUGACAUAGUGAGAAUCCUGCAGAGAUGCGGGAGUGCCUUCGGGAAUUCACAUACAGGUGCUGCAUGGCUGUCGUCAGCUCGUGUCGUGAGAUGUUGGGUUAAGUCCCGCAACGAGCGCAACCCUUUUCCUUAUUUGCCAGCGGGUUAAGCCGGGAACUUUAAGGAUACUGCCAGUGACAAACUGGAGGAAGGCGGGGACGACGUCAAGUCAUCAUGGCCCUUACGACCAGGGCUACACACGUGCUACAAUGGUAGGUACAGAGGGUUGCUACACAGCGAUGUGAUGCUAAUCUCAAAAAGCCUAUCGUAGUCCGGAUUGGAGUCUGCAACUCGACUCCAUGAAGUCGGAAUCGCUAGUAAUCGCAGAUCAGAAUGCUGCGGUGAAUACGUUCCCGGGCCU